GAAUAAUAACCGGGGUCGUUAUUCUAUGAGAUUCGAAAGGAAUCAUCUUUAGGGAGUCAGUAUUUUACUUGGAGGGGUCAGUUUUUCUAUAAAAUAAUGACCGGGGGGUCGUUAUUCUAUAGAAUUUUCAAAGGGAGUCAGUUUUUUAUAAGGGGAGUCAAUAUUUUAGAGGAUGUUAAACCAGGAAAAAUUGUUUACAUCAGCGGAAUAUCUUCCGAGAAUUCGAAUCAGUAAAAGCUAUGCUCAGUGAUGUUAUUCAAUUUACAUUAUAAAUUCUUAAUGCAAUAUCUCAAUCUGGGCUGAUUUCAUCAACGCUCGUGGACACAUACCCGUUCCAUAUUGUCAUAGAAACCUUUCAGUAAAAAUAAUUUUGAGAGUGGACAAGACGUGGCUUUGUAUUUGACAUUAGAUUCUGUUUUGGUAAUGAUCGCAGUGUAAUAGUUAGGAACAUCAGACAAAACAAUAGUUGGGGCCAAGAGGAAAGGGCAAUGAAUGGAACUUUUUAUUUUCGAGCAGACAAAUUCUUCGACAUGACGUUUCUUAUAGAAACAUCCUGCUUUAAGGUAGCAGUAAACAAUCAACAUGUAAUCGAAUUCAUGCAUAGACUUGCCUCCCAUCGUAUCGACACACUACGUGUAACCGGUGAUAUUCGGCUUUGUUACGCCAUAUUCUAAAUACAGAGAGACAACUGAUAGGGAUGUUUGAAAAGAGCAAAGGACGCCUGUGAUAAACAUUUUGAAAUGUUUCAUAUAUACGCAUAUAUAACAUAAGGUGGUUUAUUUAGGACAUUUCGUUUUGUCGCAUUGUUGUAUUGUUUAUAGUGCAACACUGGCGUGAACGCCAUCUCACCAUUACGAAGUGUUGGAAGUUUCGUUACGUCGUAAUUGCGUACAAAGAAAUGAACCUAUCAGUGCACUACAACGAAACAUCUCAAGUAACAGAACUAAGUAUUUUGCUUCGUUUUGGUGUGCAGCCAUCUACAACAUCUCCGCAUUGGCGCGUAAGCGCGCACCAAAUCGUCAUAAAAUGCAUUACAACAUUACAGUAAAUUUCGUUCUAUGUCGUUGUGACACGAGCAAAACUCAACACAACAAAGCAUUUCAGAUAGUUUUAGCGCGUGCACAAACACGUCAUUACGAAAUUUAAUAUUCUGUUGCUCAAUGUGUUGUUAUGGUGCAUUGCCAGCUCCGUCUUUUUUCCUCAUGCGCCUCGCGUGCCAAAACCACACAUGACUGUGCUACAUAAGCCCGGACGCCAACGCGAUUUAACUAACAGUCUUCUUUUAGCCACCUUUAAUGGUUUGGUAUUAAUACAUUAAUCUCCAAAAGAACUUUUAAUUGUUAUUGGUAAACAAAGGUUAAAGGCUCAUAUUGCCUUUCUUUAUAGGACGAGUGCCAUAUUUUUGUAAAGAACAUGUCUUUUUCUUGUAAAUCCUAUUGAUUGUUGUUUUCUUAUAUAUUUACCAAAGCUUUGAAUAUUGAUUAACGUUGUAGAAUAUAUUACUGAACCCUUUGUUUAUGAUUAUCCCCUUUAUGACCCUAACUUUAUAAGUUCCUGAGUGAUGUUGAAAGUACUGAUUUUUCAAACCAUUUUAUUAUGCGUAUCAUAAUAAUUGAAUAGUAUAUUGUAAAAGGACGCAACAUUUUUCUUCAAGUAAUUCAACCUAAGAAAUUAUGAAAAAUACAUUGACACUUUUCAUUCUUUAUUUAUCAUUUCAAAGAUUUAGAUGAACGAAUAAUUGUUUUAACUGGUGUUCAUUUUGUUACCAAAAUGCACUUAAUAUUUCUUGCAUGUUUACAACUGAGAUAUUCGGAAGGUUUCGGGAAAAUCCCACAUCAUCUUGAAUCUUGUAUGCACGGAAACUUGUAUGUGGACCAGCUGCAUUGCAAAUACUUUAAACAAGGAUCAA